AUUAAUUUCAGAAAUUCAUACAUAUUUAUGCGAGCUAGAGUCAACUAAAACUUUAUACACAUUUGUCUCUACAUAGAGUCAACCAUAAGUUUAUAUACAUUUGUCUCUAGCUAGAGUCAACCAGAUCUUUAUACACAUUUGUUCUUGCUAGAGACAACUAGAACUUUAUACUGUAUACACAUUUGUUCCAACUAGAGUCUACCAGAUCUGUAUGCACAUUUGUGCCAGAUAGAGUCAACCAGAACUAUAUACACAGUUGUGCCAGCUAGAGUCAUAGAGUCAACCAGAACUAUAUACACAGUUGUGCCAGCUAGAGUCAACCAGAACUUUCUACACAUUUGUUCUUGCUAGAGACAACCAGAACUUUAUACACAUUUGUUAUAGCUAGAGUCAACCAGAACUUAAUACACAUUUUUAUCUAGCUAAAGUCAACCAGAACUUUAUACACAUUUGUUCCAGCUAGAGACAACCAGACGUGUAUACAUAUAUGUGUUCUGACUAGAGUCAACCAGAACCUUUACACAUUUGUGCUAGCUAGGGUCAGCCAGAACUUUAUACACAUUUGUUCUAGCUAGAGACAACCAGAACUUUAUGCACAUUUGUUCUUGCUAUUUUAAAUAGAUGUAAGAAGAUGUGGUAUGAGUGCCAAUGAUCCAACUCUCUCAUCCAAUUCACUAUUUAGAAAAGUUAACCAUUAUAGGUCAAAGUAUGGUCUAAGAUAC
rnacentral:lncRNA from 1 species